GGGGGAUAUUGCACAAUGGAGGAAACUCUGAUGCAGCAACGCCGCGUGAGGGAAGAAGGUCUUCGGAUUGUAAACCUUUGUCCUUGGUGACGAAACAAAUGACGGUAGCCAAGGAGGUAGCUCCGGCUAACUACGUGCCAGCAGCCGCGGUAAUACGUAGGGAGCAAGCGUUGUCCGGAUUUACUGGGUGUAAAGGGUGCGUAGGCGGCUCUGCAAGUCAGGCGUGAAAACUAUGGGCUUAACCCAUAGACUGCGUUUGAAACUGUGGGGCUUGAGUGAAGUAGAGGUAGGCGGAAUUCCCGGUGUAGCGGUGAAAUGCGUAGAGAUCGGGAGGAACACCAGUGGCGAAGGCGGCCCCCUGGGCCAAUACUGACGCUCAUGCACGAAAGCGUGGGGAGCAAAC
rnacentral:rRNA from 1 species